AUUAAGGCAAGGAGGAGAAAACAGAUCUGCGGAGAAGUUUCAAGUCUUCUUUCUUUGCUGAACCAAAGAUCUGGUGAGUUAUCCAGA